UACAGAGGUCUCGAGCGUUAGGCGGAAUCACUGGGCUUAAAGCGUGUGUAGGUGGAUCGUUAAGUACCUUGUGAAAUCCCACGGCUUAACCGUGGAACUGCUUGGUAUACUGGGCGGUCUUGAGCCAGCUAGGGGCUACCGGAACAAAUGGUGGAGCGGUGAAAUGCGUAGAUAUCAAUUUGGAACGCCAAUGGGUGAAAACAGGUAGCUGGGGCUGUGCUGACAC
rnacentral:rRNA from 1 species